CGGACUGCCUGGCCGGCAGCGGAGGUAAUACGGGUAGGUCAGGAGGUGGUCGGAAUUGCAGGGCGUAAAGGGCUCGUAGGCGGCCAACUAAGUCAGCCGUGAAAUCCCUCGGCGUAACCGGGGAACUGCGUCUGAUACUGGAUGGCUUGAGUUCGGGAGAGGGAUGUGGAAUUCCAGGUGUAGCGGUGAAAUGCGUAGAUAUCUGGAGGAACACCGGUGGCGAAGGCGGCAUCCUGGACCGACACUGACGCUGAUGAGCGAAAGCCAGGGGAGCAAACGGGAUUAGAUACCCUAGUAGUC
rnacentral:rRNA from 1 species